rnacentral:misc_RNA from 1 species
GUAAUGAUAUAAUUUGCAUGUGAAGAGCAACAUAACAUCCUUGCAUUAUUUGGUUUAAUUUAAGGAGAUGAAAGCUUAAUGCUAAAAUAAACACAUAACAAGUAGAGUGGGGCAUAUAGAAUUAUAGAUAUUAAAAAGAUGCUUUGUUGAAAUUAGGAAGUUAAAAACAGAGAAGAGGGAAAAUGACUUUUUGAGAAAAAACAGAACAUUAGGAAUUAUAUAAUCAUAUACCUCCCUCUCCACAAAGGAGUAUUAUAAUCAUACAUCACACCAGUAGUAGAUCCUGAUUCUGAUUUGUGGGAUCCACUCAACCAGACAGGCAGGUCUAUGAAACCUUAUAGUUGUUGGCCUUACCUAUCUUCCAACCCUAACAACUUCACACCCAUCAUUUUUUUUUUCUCUUGAUUGUGAUUUCUCUCUCUCUCUCUCUCAAGCUCAAACACUUGUUUUACUAUCGGUAGACUAGCACCUAAAAGUUACAUUUUACAUGCCACAGCAAUCUUGGAGAAACCAAUCUCCCUUUCACAUCAUGGAGCCAAAAACAUAAAAGAAGAGGCAAAAAUCUCCAACCCAAGACACUGCCACAAAAAAAGCCAAGAACAAGCCUAGUCUCUCCAGUUCAGUCAAACUUGGAAUGGCUUCUCUAAAACAAACCUUCUGUACAAAAAUGCUAGAUCAGUCACAUAACCAUAACCCAUCAUUGCAAAUUACAUUCCUCACUAAUUUUUAGUGGUAUUAAAAUGAUUUGUGAAUAUAUAUAUAUAUUAUAUUAUGUAAUUAUAGAAGUGUGUAAUUUUCACUCAGUAGUUGCAGUGGUCAGUGGAGAAGUAUCCUUUGACGCUUGGUCUCUGUUGGAGAGACAGAGCCAUCAAAGAGUACCUUCUUCCUAUUGCAACCAUUAAUGUUUAUCAAGGAGUCUUGGUGGAGGAGCAGUGGUGGUGGUGGUGG